AGCGAACGCUGGCGGCAGGCUUAACACAUGCAAGUCGAGCGGGCAUCCUUGUGGUGUCAGCGGCAGACGGGUGAGUAACGCGUGGGAACGUGCCCUUCGGUUCGGAAUAACUCAGGGAAACUUGAGCUAAUACCGGAUACGUGCGAGAGCAGAAAGGUUUAUCUGCCGAAGGAUCGGCCCGCGUCUGAUUAGCUAGUUGGUGAGGUUAUGGCUCACCAAGGCGACGAUCAGUAGCUGGUCUGAGAGGAUGAUCAGCCACACUGGGACUGAGACACGGCCCAGACUCCUACGGGAGGCAGCAGUGGGGAAUAUUGGACAAUGGGGGCAACCCUGAUCCAGCCAUGCCGCGUGAGUGAUGACGGCCUUAGGGUUGUAAAGCUCUUUUCUCCGGGACGAUAAUGGCGGUACCGGAGGAAUAAGCCCCGGCUAACUUCGUG
rnacentral:rRNA from 1 species